GAUCAUGGCUCAGAUUGAACGCUGGCGGCAUGCCUUACACAUGCAAGUCGAACGGCAGCGGGCCUUCGGGGUGCCGGCGAGUGGCGAACGGGUGAGUAAUGCAUCGGAACGUGCCAUUGAGUGGGGGAUAACGUAGCGAAAGUUACGCUAAUACCGCAUAUUCUGUGAGCAGGAAAGCAGGGGACCGCAAGGCCUUGCGCUCUUUGAGCGGCCGAUGUCAGAUUAGCUAGUUGGUGAGGUAAAGGCUUACCAAGGCGACGAUCUGUAGCGGGUCUGAGAGGAUGAUCCGCCACACUGGAACUGAGACACGGUCCAGACUCCUACGGGAGGCAGCAGUGGGGAAUUUUGGACAAUGGGCGCAAGCCUGAUCCAGCCAUGCCGCGUGAGUGAAGAAGGCCUUCGGGUUGUAAAGCUCUUUCGGCCGGGAAGAAAUCGCAUGGGUUAAUACCCUGUGUGGAUGACGGUACCGGAAUAAGAAGCACCGGCUAACUACGUG
rnacentral:rRNA from 1 species